rnacentral:rRNA from 1 species
AGAGUUUGAUCAUGGCUCAGGACGAACGCUGGCGGCGUGCCUAAUACAUGCAAGUCGAGCGAAUCUUUAGGAGCUUGCUCCUGAAGAUUAGCGGCGGACGGGUGAGUAACACGUGGGCAACCUGCCUGUAAGAUUGGGAUAACUUCGGGAAACCGGGGCUAAUACCGGAUACGACCCUCCACUGCAUGGUGUGUGGGUGG